rnacentral:lncRNA from 1 species
AUGAGGAUGUCAACAUAUCCAUCUUGGGAGGAAACAGACGUUCAGAUCACAGCAGCUUCCCUUAGCCGUCCUCACGUUUUCUCUGGGUUUCUCUCCCCAGGAGGACAUGACUUCCGUGUACCGUGGUCAUCGGGCUCCCCGGGGGGCUCAGUGGUAAAGAACCUGCCUGCGAGUGCAGGAAGGGCAGCAGACACAGGUUUGGUCCCGGGAUUGGGAAGAUCCCCUGGAGGAGGAAAUGAAAACCCACUCCUGCAUUCAUGCCUGGAGGAUCCCGUGGAGAGAGGAGCCUGGUGGGCCACAGCCCACGGGGUCGCAGAGUCGGACACGACUGAGCAACUGAACCACACGUGUGCAGCCCCUCCCAGGGAGCACUGCUGGGGAGAAGACGUGAAGGCACCGCCACUCGGGGAGGCCAGGUGAUGGGCCCCGGGUACAUGGAAGAUGACUGGAAGAUGCCCCAGGGACUGGAAGAUGACUCAGGUGCCAGCCUGUAGCUGGAGGAGGGGCGAGAGGGUUUCUCAGGAUUGUGCCCAACUAGACCCAGCUAGAUUCUGAACUUCAUCUGCCCCGAGCCUGGGACCGAGGGGUCAGGGAGGCGCAGGGCAUGGGGCAGAGGCGACAGGGCAGUCGGCUUCCAGCCCAGAAGGACAAACGUGGAGCCCGUCCUGCUGACCUCGCAGCACCGGAGUCCAGAAGGGGCCUUUGGGGGAGACCCCUGGAAACAUCACCCCUGUUGGGGGUCUGGCGCCCCGCGAGUAGGGUUGCUUCUGUGUGUGGUGCAGGCCCUCCUCCCCAGGUCCCUGCUGACCACGUCCCCACCCC